UACAGAGGUCCCGAGCGUUGUUCGGAUUCAUUGGGCGUAAAGGGUGCGUAGGCGGCGGGGCAAGUCUGAUGUGAAAUCCCGGGGCUCAACCCCGGAACUGCAUUGGAUACUGCCUUGCUAGAGUACUGGAGAGGGAACUGGAAUUUACGGUGUAGCAGUGAAAUGCGUAGAGAUCGUAAGGAAGGCCGGUGGCGAAGGCGAGUUCCUGGACAGUUACUGACGCUGAGGCACGAAGGCCAGGGGAGCAAACGGG
rnacentral:rRNA from 1 species